rnacentral:rRNA from 1 species
CCUACGUGAGGCAGCAGUGGGGAAUAUUGGACAAUGGGGGGAACCCUGAUCCAGCGACGCCGCGUGAGUGAAGAAGUAUUUCGGUAUGUAAAGCUCUAUCAGCAGGGAAGAAAAUGACGGUACCUGCCUAAGAAGCCACGGCUAACGACGUGCCAGCAGCCGCGGUAAUACGGAGGGGGCAAGCGUUAGCCUGCUUUACUGGGUGUAAAGGGAGCGUAGACGGUGCAGCAAGUCUGAUGUGAAAGUGCUGGGCCCAACCCCGGGACUGCAUUGGAAACUGUUGAACUGGAGUACAGGAGAGGUAAGCGGAAUGCCUAGUGUAGCGGUGAAAUGAGUAGAUAUUAGGAGGAAAACCAGUGGCGAAGGCGGCUUACUGGACUGUAACUGACGUUGAGGCUCGAAAGCGUGGGGAGCAAACAGGAUUAGAUACCCGAGUAGUC